rnacentral:rRNA from 1 species
CGGGACGGGUGAGGUAACACGUGAGCAACCUGCCUUUCGUAGGGGGACGAACAGCCGGAAACGGACUGCUAAUACCGCAUAACGUAUUUUUGUACGGCAUCGUUGAAAUACCAAAGGAAGCAAUCCGCCGAAAGAUGGGCUCGCGUCUGAUUAGAUAGUUGGUGAGGUAACGGCUCACCAAGUCGACGAUCAGUAGCCGGACUGAGAGGUUGAACGGCCACAUUGGGACUGAGACACGGCCCAGACUCCUACGGGAGGCAGCAG